rnacentral:sRNA from 1 species
GCCAGGCUUGGUGGUGCACAUCUGUAAUCCCAGAAGCUUAGGAGGCUAGGGCAGGAGCAUCACAAGUUCAAAGCUAACCUCAGCAACUUAGUGAGGCCCUAAGAAACUUAGUGAGAUCCUGUCUAU